AGGUUCUGUACCUUUAAGGAACACAAAGUUAAAGGUGCCCCAGCCUCUAUAAACAGGGUUCACUUCCCUAAAAAACAGGGAAUAGAUUCAUUUGCUCUGUUUCACGAGUAUAAUUAAGUAAGGCUACACUUUGAACAUGGCAUGCUGUUGGCAGAGUCUCUGUGUACUUCUCUUUGUUGCUGUCUUCGCCCAGAUUCCUGGGGGUCUUCAAGACGUUUCUACAGACAGAGAGGAUGUGCAGAGGGCAGCCACAUUUGCUGUCGCUGAAUACAACAAAGCAUCCAAUCAUUCAUAUACCAGCAAAAUGAUCCGGAUUUUGUCUGCCAAAGCACAGGUGGUUGCGGGAAUGAAAUUUUACUUGCAUAUUGAGAUGGGAUGCGCACAUGGCUGUCAUAACAAGGAAUUCUCAUGCAAAUUUGUGGUUUUGGAGGUUCUCUGGAAAAACAUAAUGAAGCUCCUGGAUACAAAGUGCAACAGCCAGCCCUAAAAACAAAAACAAAAAAACACAUUGGAGGGGUUUAACUUUAGCAGUUGCUAAAUAGCUAGCCAUUUUGUGUUAUCCUGUCUAUCAUUUAGCAUUCAUUCUCCAUUGAUAUUAAGUUGCUGAAUUGCCCACAAUGAGGUGUUUCCCCUUCUUCCUGUUUGCUCUGGAUACCAUUAUGCAAUGACAAGCACAUGUUUUAGGAUUAAAACUUGAUUUAAACCAUGUACUGUAAAAUAUGACCCAUACAGAAGUAAUCCUUGCAUAACCAUAUAUGUAGUUAACUUAAUUAAAACAUUAUGGGAUUGUUCACAAAAGAUAAGAAUUAUUUUUGUUAAAUGUGCGUUUGUCCUUUUUUGUGUAA